GAUGAAGAACGUAGCGAAAUGCGAUACGUAAUGUGAAUUGCAGAAUUCAGUGAAUCAUCGAAUCUUUGAACGCAUAUUGCGCUCUCUGGCAUUCCGGAGAGCAUGCUUGUUUGAGUAUCAGUAAACACCUCAACUUCCAUAUCUUUUUUGAAAUGGGAGUUGGACUUGAGUGAUCCCAACGCUUUUCCUCACCGAAAAGUGGCGGGUUACUUGAAAUGCAGGUGCAGCUGGACUUUUCUCUGAGCUAUAAGCAUAUCUAUUUAGUCUGCCUAAAAAACAGAUUAUUACCUUUGCUGCAGCUAACAUAAAGGAGAUUAGUUCUUGUGCUGACUGAUGCAGGAUUCACAAAGACAGGCUUCGGCCGACUUUGUAAACUCGAUCUCAAAUCAAGUAAGACUACCCGCUGAACUUAAGCAUAUCAAUAAGCGGAGGA
rnacentral:misc_RNA from 1 species